UGGGGAAUAUUGGACAAUGGGCGAAAGCCUGAUCCAGCCAUGCCGCGUGUGUGAAGAAGGUCUUCGGAUUGUAAAGCACUUUAAGUUGGGAGGAAGGGCAGUAAGCGAAUACCUUGCUGUUUUGACGUUACCGACAGAAUAAGCACCGGCUAACUCUGUGCCAGCAGCCGCGGUAAUACAGAGGGUGCAAGCGUUAAUCGGAAUUACUGGGCGUAAAGCGCGCGUAGGUGGUUCGUUAAGUUGAAUGUGAAAGCCCCGGGCUCAACCUGGGAAAUGCAUCCAAAACUGGCGAGCUAGAGUAGGGCAGAGGGUGGUGGAAUUUCCUGUGUAGCGGUGAAAUGCGUAGAUAUAGGAAGGAACACCAGUGGCGAAGGGGACCACCUGGGCUCAUACUGACAAUGAGGUGAGAAAGCGUGGGGAGCAAACAGG
rnacentral:rRNA from 1 species